rnacentral:rRNA from 1 species
AUUGAACGCUGGCGGCAGGCUUAACACAUGCAAGUCGCGCGAGCGGCGGACGGGUGAGUAAUGUCUGGGAAACUGCCUGAUGGAGGGGGGUAACUACUGGAAACGGUAGCUAAUACCGCAUACCAUCAGAUGUUCCCAGAUGGGAUUAGCUAGGAGGUGGGGUAAUGGCUCACCUAGGCGACGAUCCCUAGCUGGUCUGAGAGGAUGACCAGCAACACUGGAACUGCGACACGGUCCAGACUCCGACGGGAGGCAGCAGGGGGAAAUAUUGCACAAUGGGCGCAAGCCUGAUGCAGCCAUGCCGCGUGUGUGAAGAAGGCCUUGGGGUUGGAAAGCACUUUCAGCGAGGAGGCGUUACCCGCAGAAGAAGCACCGGCUAACUCCGUGCCAGCCGCCGCGGUAAUAC